GUUCAAACCGUGACUCAAGGCUGCUGGAAAUCAAUUCAAGGGCUGAAGAGAUCUUUGUAUCCCACAAACUUUUAUACCGAAACCGUGCACACUGGAUUGGGAAAUGCGAAGCCGGGACUGUGGGCUUGGCCCUCCUGUACAAUGCGUCCCCGGGGACGUCCGACUGUAGAGACUGC